GUACUAGUACUUGAUGUGUUCUAAGAUAAGAUCAGAUCAACUUUAUUGAUCCCACAAUGGGGAACAUCACUUGUUGCAGCAACAAAAGUUGUACAGUAGUAAAGAAAAAAACAUUUACUUUAAAGAAAGGUGAAUAAAGUAUACUGAAAUGUUUGCUGGUGAAAUACUGAUCAAUCAAUCAAUCAAUCAAUUUU